GUGGACACCAACCCCACCAGCAGUAGCACCAACGCCAGCUCGGCCAUGACAACCAGCACCGGUCAUGUGACUCCACACUGGUCAGACGUCCAUGAUAACGAGACUGCAGGAUCCAGGUGACAGAAGCCAGCAAUGAACACCGACCGUGGACGACAGAUGAAAUAGACAGGUGACCCAAGGUGGGAUGUCCUGAGGAAUCAUAAGAGUAUGGUUGACAUAUAUUCCCAGGGGUACUAUUGGCCUGAUUUGUAAGUUUUCUCCAUCCCUAACAAUGUCCGUGAUAACGGAGCUGCAGGAUCCAGGUGACAGAAGCCAACAAUGAACACCCGACCGUGGACGACAGAUGAAAUAGACAGGUACGUAUCCCUAUAUUAACUCCCACCCUAACCCGCUUUGCGUCGUCCUGAGUGCACGAUUGAUCUAACUUAAUC